rnacentral:rRNA from 1 species
CGUACACUCCUGCGGGAGGCAGCAGUAGGGAAUCUUCCACAAUGGGUGCAAACCUGAUGGAGCAAUGCCGCGUGAGUGAAGAAGGUCUUCGGAUCGUAAAGCUCUGUUGUUAGAGAAGAACACGUGCUAGGUAACUACUAGCGCCUUGACGGUAUCUAACCAGAAAGUCACGGCUAACUACGUGCCAGCAGCCGCGGUAAUACGUAGGUGACAAGCGUUGUCCGGAUUUAUUGGGCGUAAAGGGAGCGCAGGCGGUCUGUUUAGUCUAAUGUGAAAGCCCACGGCUUAACCGUGGAACGGCAUUGGAAACUGACAGACUUGAAUGUAGAAGAGGAAAAUUGAAUUCCAAGUGUAGCGGUGGAAUGCGUAGAUAUUUGGAGGAACACCAGUGGCGAAGGCGAUUUUCUGGUCUAACAUUGACGCUGAGGCUCGAAAGCGUGGGGAGCGAACAGGAUUAGAUACCCGGGUAGUCCC